GAGCGCCCCGCAAGGGGAGCGGCAGACGGGAGAGUAACACGUGAGAACGUACCCUUCAGUUCGGAACAACCCAGGGAAACUUGGGCUAAUACCGAAUACGUCCGUAAGGAGAAAGAUUUAUCGCUGAAGGAUCGGCCCGCGUCUGAUUAGCUAGUUGGUGAGGUAACGGCUCACCAAGGCUACGAUCAGUAGCUGGUCUGAGAGGAUGAUCAGCCUCACUGGGACUGAGACACGGCCCAGACUCCUACGGGAGGCAGCAGUGGGGAAUAUUGGACAAUGGGCGCAAGCCUGAUCCAGCCAUGCCGCGUGGAUGAUGAAGGCCCUAGGGUUGUAAAGUCCUUUCGGCGGGGAAGAUAAUGACGGUACCCGCAGAAGAAGCCCCGGCUAACUUCGUGCCAGCAGCCGCGGUAAUACGAAGGGGGCUAGCGUUGCUCGGAAUCACUGGGCGUAAAGCGCACGUAGGCGGCUUUUUAAGUCAGGGGUGAAAUCCUGGAGCUCAACUCCAGAACUGCCUUUGAUACUGAGAGGCUUGAGUCCGGGAGAGGUGAGUGGAACUGCGAGUGUAGAGGUGAAAUUCGUAGAUAUUCGCAAGAACACCAGUGGCGAAGGCGGCUCACUGGCCCGGUACUGACGCUGAGGUGCGAAAGCGUGGGGA
rnacentral:rRNA from 1 species